GACGAACGCUGGCGGCGUGCCUAACACAUGCAAGUCAACUUGACUGAAGGAGCAAUCUGACAGUAGAGUGGCGCAAGGGUGCGUAACGCGUAAGUAACUUGCCCAAGGUAAGGAAUAACGUCGAGAAAUCGGCGCUAAUACCUCAUAAUGCAGCGGAUCCGCAUGGAUAUGUUGUUAAAGGUUUACCGCCUUGGGAUAGGCUUGCGUCUGAUUAGUUAGUUGGUGUGGUAACGGCACACCAAGGCUACGAUCAGUAACUGGUCUGAGAGGAUGAUCAGUCACACUGGAACUGAGACACGGUCCAGACUCCUACGGGAGGCAGCAGUGAGGAAUAUUGGGCAAUGCUCGAAAGAGUGACCCAGCAACGCCGCGUGGAGGAUGAAGGUAUUCUAUAUCGUAAACUCCUGUGAGAGCAGACGAAAGACAGAUUAUUAAUCUGGAUGACUGUAUGCUCAGAGGAAGCCCCGGACUAACUACGU
rnacentral:rRNA from 1 species